CGUAAAUAAGACGACUUCUGGCGAGAAUCAAUCUUCUUAACAACUGCUGUACAACUUUGAUUAAUAAUGCCCAGUAAAUAAGAGCAACUACGACUGACUAUCUGUAAAUAAAAGAAAGACACAGGAAGAGAUAUUUAAAAUAGAUAAAAGUGAUUGGCAUCCAAUGUUGGCCAAGACCAUGCUCAAGAAACAGCCAGGUAUUAAGCAUGAAUAUGACACAUGAUACCUUGCGAAACCAUUGGAAGAAAGUUGCUGCUGCUACAGUCAAGAAAUUUAACUCAAGCAGUGAGAGAAAGAAUUGUCAAUAAUCUGUGGUGGUCAGCUGCAAAGAGACAUACCAAGGAGAUAAAACGCAAUGACGGAACGUUGGACUUCAGUUCUUAGACACAUUGUGGAUGAACAUCAGUGUACUUAUGGCAGAGUUAUUGAAGUGUGAGCUUCCACCCUUGAAGAAAAUAU